CUGUCUCUUCCUGCAUCUCUGGUCCUGUUCCCUAUGCUUUUGCUCUCCUUGCCUCUCUGUUCCGCUUCCUGUCCUUCACACUUCCGUCUUUACUUCUCAGCUCCGCUCCCUGCGCCACGCUCAGCUCACACUCCCAGGCGAACUGCCCCGGCAGCCAUUCUCUGCAGGCGGGAGACGGCGGGGAGCGGUCCUGCAGCGGCGAGUCGGGCCCGGGACAGGCGCCUCGGCCCUGGGGCCGGAGCGGGGCCGCUCCGAGCCAGCGGAGGCAGCUGGAGCUGCGGCCCGGGGAGCGGGGCCGCCGCAGCCCCACAGCCCCGGGGCCGCCCCUCAGGGCCCCGCGCGGAAUGGCGGCAGCGGCGGGAAGGAGCCCGCGGGCGGCGGGCAGCUCCGCCUCCCUGCCGUGCCACACGCGGCAGCUGGCCUCAGGAGCACCGCCGGUGGUGUGGGGACACUGGUCCCACAGCUGGGGACGAGCCGCCGAGCAGCACAAUGCCGCGGAAUGCAUUAAGGGAGAGAGUGCGUGUAUGAGCGAGUUAAGGAGCAAAGAAGGGCAGAGUUCAUCGGUGCCUCCCCUCGGAGAGGAACGGAGGGCCCGAGAUGGCACCCAGACGCAAAGCCGAGGCACCUGACCGGCCUGCCUGGGUUCUGGGUAGGAGAUGUCACCGAGAGACCCUCUAGCCUGGUACGGCCCUCUGCUGAUCAUGUGCUGCAGCCUUCAAGGUGGGCAUCGACGUGUGCUUGAUUCCAGAGGAUGGCAUUGGCUGAGUUUAUGCAGCCGGGCAGCUGGAGACUGCUUAUGAGCCUUGGAGACAUGCCAGAGGUGGAAAGCUGUCAGUGCCUCUGUGCUUGUGGCUGUAAACCCCCCAGGGUUUAACUGGUGCUUCCUGGCCAAUUGUACCAAAGGAAGAGCUACUCAGCUGAAAGGCCACCUGUGUUAACUCUUACCUGUGGGAACUGACACCUUUGUGUGUAACGCCUGGCAGUUCCUCAUGAUGUCCAAGGACAAGCAAGAGGGAGCUCAGGGCCUCUGGAAGACUGCUUGAGGCAUGUGGGGCACACAUAGUGUUCACUUCUGCCACUUGCAGUUAACCAGACACAGGAAGGUUCUAGAGAUGAGCACGUGGCGUCCUGGUGUUCCCAGCAAAAGUGUGGGGAUUUGACUGUGGGUUGGUCUACAGGACACGAAGCCCCUGAUGGUGGCACUUGGGCCGCACCUGCUGCAAAGGGAAAAAGGAUUUUUGCUCAGGGGUUAUUGGGGGUCCUUGAGAGAGCUUUAAUCAGGGUUGGAAAUGAAAGGGAAUAAAGCAGGCUCGCUUGGGAGAUGCCUGAGCACUGCACAUCCAUGUAGGCAUGAGAAUAGAGUAGCGAGAAAGUGCUGCCUUCAAAGGUCACAAAACUGUAGCAGAAUUAUCGGGAAAAGCAUGCUUCCUGCCAGAAUGGUGCCAAGACAAAAAUGGUACUGAAGAACAGCACUUGCAGUGGGGUUUUUUAAUGCAGCCUUCAUAAGGGGCUUUUGAUAGGGAUUGCUGAGGAAUAAAGAGUGCCUCUGCAUUCCUCCUCACAGUGCUGCCUCCCAGAAUACCUCCACCCUUCUCUACCUGUGCUCCUUACAGGCCUGUGCAGAAUGAGGAGAUUCAAUAGAGGGAAGGUGCAUGAAUUCACCAGGCAAUAUGAGCAUAUACUAGGGAGUUCACAGACACCACUUUGCUGUGAGAUCACAGAGCCCUGUUUGAUGUGAGGUCCCAGAGCCCCACUGUGCUCUUCAGUGCUCACUCUGGGCAACACUGGAGAAGCAGCAGUGGCAGUGGAGGCACAAUGUUGCGAGCACGGGGGGUCUUGGUCCUGACCCACUACCUCCUGCUCCUGUUUCUCCUGGCCCUGCAAGCACAGAAUGCCCAGAGUGCUCCAAUGCCUGGGCAGGGAGCAGGUAGGCAGGCAGGGGCCAGCACACAGCCCUGGCUGGUGGCAGUGGGGCCAGGGCUGGGCCUGGCUGAGCCAGGAAGCCACCAUGGUGUAGGCAGUGGGGCAGACACACCAGGAGAGGUGUGAGGGGCUGCAGCUGCUGCAGGGUGCAGCGUGGAGAGAGGUUCCUAAGGAGCAGGGAGGUGGGGAGACAACAGUUCAGGCCCAGAACCUUGGCCCUGAGUUAUCUGUCACUCUGCACUGGUCAGCCAUCAAAUUCAGCUCUGGUUAGCCGUGGCUCAGCACUGGGUUUUCCACCACCCAGCACUGCUUAUUCAGCCUCCUGACCACGCUCCAGGGCUGACCCAACCACAGGUUGUGUGAGCAUGCCAUGGCUUUUCACUUCACGGGAGAGCUGCCAGCUCAGUGUCCCAAGGGCAGUCAGACCCCUCUGCAGCUGUGACAAUACAGACCUGCCUGUGCGUGCCCUGUCAGGACCUUUCUCAUCCAGGCCUUGAAGUGUGACCAUGACGGCACUGCAUAUGAUGGUAACUUCUUGUGGGUGUUUGGUUGUAGUUGUGGACAGAGAGAGUGCUCUUUCAGCCCCUGAGCUAGAGCCAGAUUCUAUGCUGAUUCCGAGUUGGUAUCUCAAGCGUGAGUAAUCAGUCUCUACGCCUUCACAAGAAUGAGCACUACUUUUCCUUGUGCUAUUCAUGGGAAAUGUGCCUUCAUAGGUUAACAUCCAUUUUUAAAUCUAACAUAGGUAAGGAUUAUGACAAGGUCCCUGAAGAAUUCCCUGGAGGAUUCCCUGAAGGAUUCCCUGAAGUUCCAGAAGACCUCCUGACAGCCUGGGAUGAAGCUUCAUCUGAGAGAGAUGAUGAAAACCCUGAUGUGCUGGAAACCAUUCCUAUGGAAGAAAGUGACAGUGUGCCGGGCUCAGAUACAAAAAUAGAACCAAUACAGGAUACCAACCCACUUAUUGAGCCUCAGGAGUUUUCAGGUGAGUGCCUGGGAGAUGCUGUCUUGGGAAAAGAGAAGAGUUUCAGCUGUAUCUCUGCAGGUCGCUCCAUAGAUGAAUUGCAGGUGCUCAGCACACAGCCCUGGCCUGCAGCUUAGAGGAGCAGACAGGAGCAGUGCUGUUCCCUGGCACACACUGCGUUCUUCUCCAUGGGAACAUUAGGAGAUCCCUCUUGGUCCCUGGUGCUAAAACACCAGAGCCAGAGGGACCAAUCUCUGAAGACAACAAUCCUUGGGCACCUGAAGUGCACUGUGAGAUUAUCCCUAGUGCAGAGUACAAACAUCGUCUCUUGCAUUGUCUCGCACAUUGUCUUUUCUCCUGCCAGGUUCAGCUGCUGGGCAAAAAGCUGAGACUGCUGGACACUGUGACCCGAGCAAGUACUACAUCCUAGGGACAGUAGCAGCCUCGGCUUUGCUUCUGCUUGGGGCAGUGUGUGGGUAUAUUGUCAUGUAUCAGCUGCUGAAGAGAGACAGGAGGACGCAGGAAGACAAAGAAGCACUAGGGCAAGACUACACUGGUUCUUCCUGGGAAAGGCGUGGUCAUCCUAGAGGUAAAGGUGAAGCAGAGUCAGGAGGAGGACCAGGAAGGGAUGAGACAGCCCAAGGCAACAGGUUCCGGGACAGCUGCCGCCUGUUUCCUGAGGUCUUUGCAGCAGAGCUUGCCCAGCGGUACAAGAACAUGGGCGCAGACCCCUCACCUCUGCCCACGUGUCCCUUCUGUAAGAAAUAGAGGUUAUGAAGGCCCCACCUUGAGGUUAGUUCUCCCAUGUUGUCUCGUUCUGUUACCAACUGUUAUUCUCACUGUCGUGUAAUAGUUGUAAUUACUGUAUCUUACUUCUACCCCAAGGAUUCAUUUAUGUAUCCCCUGCCCUCCUACAAGUUACCGUUUAUUGUAUCCAUUGCAUUCAUCUGUGUAGGCCCUGUUCACCUAGGUGUUUGCAUGUUGCAGUCCAGUGUAUUCAUUGUAUUGGUUUGUGCUCCCUUUUCUCUCUCAUGUAUUACUGUUUUAUGUACUCACCCUGUGUACCCUCCUGUUCUCCUGUGUGAUGCUGAUCCUCCCCAAAGCCCCCUCCUCUUGUUUUUCCAUCGGGAAACCGCCCGCUGCUCCCACCAUCUCUGCUCUGCUCUCCAUGUGGCCUAAAAAUGGCCCUGCCAGCUACCCAUACCUCACAAAAUGGCUGCCCCACAGACAGAAUAUGCAAAGGAGCUGGCAUAUAGCCAAGUUGAGUGAAAUAAACCUUUAAAUCAGCCAACCUAGAAAGAGUUCUUACAAAAGAAACAUAACACCUAAUAAAGAAAAGACGUAGUGUUGGAGUCCAGAAGAUCCCUCUGACAGCCCUGGAGAGUCAGGGGGCUGUACAGGGGGGUCUGGGAUCUGUACAAGGGGGUCAGCCAGCCUCCCACAGAGCCCAGAAGGACUCUGAUUCUGGCUUCUAUCCAUGGAAGUGAUUGCUCACAUGAAGGAAGAAUCACAGAUCCCAAGAAUUUAGAAGUAGAUAGUAGUUUGUUAUAGAGUAUAAAUAUAGAGAUUAGGAUUCAUAGUAUACGGGGCUGAGAGGACAAGAUGGAGGAAUUGGGGAGUGGCCCCUAGUUUCCUUGUUCUUGUUCUCAUCCCCCAUCUUUUGCUGAUUUGGACUUUAGAGACUGGUUUAGAAUAGAACUGACAUGUUAGCGUAGCAAGUUAGUAUUGGUAAUGUUCUGUAAACAAUAAAUACGUCUUGGACUGUGGUUGGGUCGGGAGUACGGUACAUAAGGUACGGGGCUCUCUGAUCCGCCCCAGUCCAGCAGCAGCCCAGUCCAGCGGCAGCCCAGCGCCAGUCCAACGGCGUGUCUUGCUUUGCUGGGGACGCCUUGCAAAGCCGAACAAGAACUGUUAGAUAAUAUGAAAUAAACAACCUUGAUAACUUGAGCUGCUGGACUCACAGUGUCGUCUCUGCCUUUGGUGUGAAACGCUCAGGGCAAAGAGAAGACAGAAACCCUUAUUAUCUUGGGGAACAGCAACCCCAGGAAAAUACCCAGGGAACAGCAACCCUGGGGGAAGAUUUCACCACCUCGGGGAACGGCCGCCCCGAGGGGAAUCUCGGGGAACAUCAACCCUGAGAACGUAGCUUUCAACAGAGAAGAAGUCACAAGUGUCGCCCUGACUUGUACUGAGCUCCAUCAGAGUAGGACCCCUAGACUCUGAGCCAUUUAACUGAGGUCUUUGGACGUUCCCGUGAGGACGAGACCCCCGGACCUGGUGUCGACGACAGCAGGGACGACGUGCUCCUCCUCUUCGACGUCGACCCGGGAGCAGCGGAGGCGGCGGCGCGCACCCCUCGAGCUCCCACCCCAAGGCUGAAAUCUUUUAAUAAAGGCUUUUAAAAAGGAGAAGAAGCUCUCCUGGCCCUAAUUUAUAACACUUCUGUGAUCUGGCUGAUGGUGCCUCUUCACAGGACCACUGGACUUCCCUGGACUCACCUCAGCCCACACCAUUCUCAUGCCCCUGCUGCCAGUACCAGCAGGAAUAUUUUAUAUUAGAGGAAAACGAUUAUUUUAGUGAUAGCAUGUAAAUAAAUAUAUUUCUAAAAGCAGUAAGUUCUUGCCUGUUGUGGCUGUUUCUGUUGGGGUAGAAUGCCCAGAGCUGGGAACAGGGCUGGAGCUGUGAGAUGAGCUGUGAGAAACCUGCACUGCAGUGCAGAACCUGUUUGUGCCAGCCUCAGCCUGCUUUCCCAGCAAUGGCCAUCAGCAAGGCUUUCCUGCACCAGUACAGGGACAUGCUGGUGAGAUGUGCAAAGGCUUGUCCAAGAGCUCAUUUGUGAUGCUGCCUGAAGGACUGUGCCCCGUGGAAGAGUGACCCACAUUGCAGCAAUCUGUGGAGAACGUUUGUUCCUGGGAUGCACUCACACUGGUGAAAAAGGUGGGGGCUGUCUCCCAUGGGAGGUACCCCAGACUGGUGCAGAGGGCAGGCCAAGGCUCUUUGCAGCAGAGAGUUUUGCCUCAACCCUUGAAUGAAGCCCUACAAAGUCUUGUUGUGAAAUACAAAGUUAUGUUUCGUGUCAGGGAAAUGAAGAAAAUCUGUGUAAUCAUAGGGAUGGAACACAGCCAUGGGACAGUUAUAAAGAUGAGUUCUAAUAAACAGCUGAGGAAAGCAUGGAAGGAAGUUUUUGAAUAAAUCUUUUGCUUGCAAUUAUCUAUUAUAAGUCUCAAGCUAUUCUGCAAUUAGUGUCCUUUAAUUAUAACUUUAGAAGCUUGUUUUGUAUUAAAGAAUUUUAAACUGUAGUUUUAGAGUGCAAAAAGGUUUUCUUUUAGACAAAAGAAGGAAAAAGGAGGGGGCUCAGGCCUCACAUAAGGUGGGAAAACAUCCUGGACAUGAAGAUAUGACUUCAGCUCACUGAUUUAUGACUCCUGGAGAAGGAAACUGGACAUCAGCAUUUGGAAAUUGAUGGACUUGAAAAUAGAGAUGGGACCCCCACAUCUGGAAGCCAGAUCCCACCACCUGGAAAACGUAUCCUGGAAGUACAUCCUGGAGUAUUGAAAUAUCAGAAUAGAUCACAAUGGUCCAUAGAAUUAUACAGGACAAUCUAUAGAUUUAUGGCUGUUAGGUAUUGAAUUGUGACGUUAAAACUAGAAAUGGAAACUGCUGAGAAAGCUUAUGAAUAUGUAUAAAAUACCAUCAAAUCCAGCAAUGGGUGUGCAGUUGGAAGGGAAAACCCCUGCCACUGUACCCAGCGCUGCCUCUUUGCUCACACUUUACCAUGUUAAUUAAUUAAUUAUUAAAUUGCUGCUUGAUAUAUUGGCCGUGUCAAGCGUCUUAUUUUUAACAAUUUGGUGGAGAAUGCGGGCAACUCCAAUCCAUUGAGGGAGGCCCCUGAUCUCGGGGAGGCGCCCCACCUUGCAGGCUUUUGCCUCAGGUGGCCCUGAGUGACUGGGGAAUCUUUCAGGGAGAAGGAGAUCCUCGAGGUAAAUUGUGAGCGAAGGAUUUUGAGCUCCCGGAUAAAGCUGCAGUGAAAUUCACCUGUAAUAACUCGUGCACAGAGACCCAGGCGAGAAAAGGAGGCUGUAAGUAUCGCUUGGUUAGGUGGGCUAAGAACGGGUACACACGUGUGAGAGUGUGAGUGGUGUGUGUGUGAGACGUGGUCUGACCACGAAGUGAUUGUGGAGUUCUUCUAACCUCGGUUCCGUGUCUCCGCGAGGGGAGCGGCAGGUGAAGGAACAAAGCGAGUGUUGGUAAAGG